CGAAACAGUGCCUGUGUCUAAGUGUGAAACUGUGUGAAACUCAUCUUGAAUUUCCUCCACUGUUAUUGUGCCACUUAUCUCACAAUGAGAGUCUAUGACAUCAGGUGUGAAUAAACUCAGCCAAUAUUCAGUGCCAAGAAAAUGAAGCACUUUUUUUUCCUCCAUCACAACAAUUGAUACAUAGGAACUGCAGACCCAGUGAACUACGUGCAAAUUUAAUCAGAGGAGCAAGACUGAAUCAUCUGAUAUACCAGCAUCUCUGUCCUGCUGAAAUAGCCUGGGGCAGAUCUGCACUGGAGUUUGAAUUCCUGAUCCUGCCAACCAUUGAGCUCACCACAUGAAGUUCUUCUGCUGUUGUCAUCAGUGAGAGCUGAGGGCACUCAGCACCUGGCAGGAACUGGCACUUUGAUGGCAAGCAGGGAUAUUGCAAAGCAGGAUUAAAGUGCACUCGCUGACAGAGCUGUUUGAAGAAGCUUUCAGAGCACCUGCCCAUGCUGUGCUUGACUCUAGACUUUGCUAUCAGCCCCUCAACCUCAUUAGCACCAAAUUUAUUCUCAAAAAUAAAUAAAUAAGAGACUCUGACA
rnacentral:lncRNA from 14 species